UCCUCAUCUUUUGAGUCUUUUUUGUUUUAAUUUUUUUAUUAUUACACUAUCCUUCUCAUCCGAGCAUGGUUGCAAGGGUGAAAUUAUUUACAUAUUUCCUUGUUUUAAAACAAACAGUUCCAAAUACUUCCUAUGUUCUUUCUCGUAGUAUGAUUAGUUAUUUGCAUAUAAAAUCUAUGAUUUGCAAUCAUAACAUCAUCUUUACCCAUUUAAAUGUCGAGCAUUUUAACAUAGCAAAUUCUUUGAAUAAAAUAGAACAAAUUGCAUCGAAGACACCUUUUUCCAAUAAACAAUACUAAGCUCUCUUUUUCUUAUCACAAAGUAAUGCAUUUUUUAUUUUCUUCAUUUAUAUGUAUCACAAAUAUAUUAUUAUCCAUGUUCAACUCCCAGGUUUAAAGAUUUUCUUGGCAUUCUAGAAAAUUCCAUGGUGCUCCUUAAUCUUCUGACAAUUGGCACAUAUUGAUUUAUUGUAUAUGGGAACAAAUAUCUGUAGUUAUAUUGAAAAUUUAAUCAUUAAGGUAACAAUUGUGGGUUUGCUUUUAUUUUUUAUUUUGUAGUCUCAAGACACUAUGGAUUUGAGUGAGAUGCUUCCCUUCAACAUGUCUCAAAUAUGCAGGGAAGUUUUGAGUAUAGGUGCCAACUUUUGCGUUUCAGCUGGGAACUCCUUGGAACCUGAGCAUUCAGGCUAUUGGAAAAACCAUUGCUUCUGGCUUGGUUUCCAAGGCCACCAUCACUGCCUUCUAGCAAGAUGGCCUCUGUGCCAGGCAUCUGAGGUUCAUUGAACCAAAUGAUUUCUUUGACUGAUGUCUUCACUUGUACUUAUUGCAGAUAAUAACUGAUAGAGGGGAAUCUCCUUCAGCAAGUCGUAAGCCUCACCACCGGGUUGAUCUAUCUCCUGCCAACUAAACAAAGAAAUUGGGUAAAACAGCCAUUUUAUGCUGAUGGUGAGAAAUCCAUUGACAUAUUACACCAAAUCCUGCUUUACAAACCUGGCUUUUGUGGUUGUUGUAGUUGAGUUUUUUUUUUCUAUCAAUGCAGAUCUUCUGAUGAUAAGAUUGUUAAAAUGUUUCCAUGCAUUUGUUGAAAUGAAGUGUUCCCACAGUGGUAGAUGUCGCAUUUUGAUCUACAAUUCUCAUUCUCCUUGUAGAGAUGCUGGUGAAGUUGCUGUUUUGAUUCUUGUAAUCAUCUGUGUGUUUUGGUGUUAAAUAAGAACACAGCUAUCUCCAAAAGGAAAUUGCCUGACAAAUGGAUUCCUCUGCAAAGAGUAAAGAGCUGAUAGAAUGUACACAUAGAAAGGUGCUGGAAUUGCGGGGAAUAUUGAGCCUGGACCCCGGAUAUGUCACUAUUAAGCGAAGCAUAUAAAAUGUUGUUGGUUCUGUGGACAGAAAACAACAGAGAAAUAACAAGCCAAGAGAGUUCAAAUAUAAGUGGGUUUUUUUUUUAUUCUACAAGAACUGGCAAAGGUAUUUAUACUCAGUGCGCGGCCCCCAAUGUCCGAAGAGAGAUUUCCAAGAGAGACAAGCGGAAAGCAUGGCAUCGCGGCCUCCCCCCGGUGACAACCUUCGUGAAUUGUACAUGGAACUUCUCCAGUUGACAAGCCAGCUGAUGGGGCUAAUUAAUCAGAACCCACAAAGAGCAAUAUCUAUCUUAAUGGCGUUCCCUGAGAUCGCUAGGUCUCUCUGUCGGGCAAUGUCGAUGCUGCACAGUGUGGGGCUCCCCCCUUACCUGCCUGUGGAAAUUGAUGAUCGAGCUGUAGCUGCUUAUCCUCCGCUACUGCCGCGGCCACCUUUGGGCCUACCAGCAAGGCCAGCUCCCAUGGCUCGACCACAGGUUCGGCCACCAAGAGCAGCUGCAGCAGAACCUGUCUUUGAUGCUGGGAAUGAUCUAGGAGAGUCAUCUUCUUCCCUUGAGGAAGAACUGCCUCCACCACCUAGCCAGACACCACCCAAGAGCACUCGAGGUGGAAAGAAAUGAAGGUUUUGACUGUGAGGGGGAGUGCAUCUGCAUCCUUUUGAACAAGCUGCCAUUCAUGUGGAUCCCCCAUAUUGUUCUAAUCUCAGCAAGUGUAACUCCAUACAUCCAACUUUGAAGUUCAACUUUACGAACUCCUUGCAACAUAGAAGAUCACCAUGGGCACCUAGGCUCCAGGAAAAAACAGUGCUUUCUAACUUAUGCCAGGGCUGCCACCAAUGCUUUCUUGACAGAUGACCAGUGGCAUGCAUCAGUGGUUCAUUGAGCUAAAUAACUUCGUUUACUGAUGCAUUCUCUUGUGCUUUUGCAUAUAUCACCUGAAAAAGAGUGAAAUCUUCUUUCGCUCGCUGUUAGAAAUCAACAAGAUCUUCUGAUGAGGUUGAUAGAAUGUUAUCUCUAUCAAGCUUUUUUGUUGAAAAGAUCUGGUCUAACAAUGCUAGAUGCUGUAGCUUGAUUUUUAAACUAGCCAAAUUUCUGAUGAUAAAAAAUGCUGAUCCUGUUGUGUUUGUCUUUGAAUUAGAGCCACAAUUUCCAAAAUCAAACUACAGACAAGUCGAUUGCUCUGCAAAGAGUAACGUACUGAGAGAUGCAUGGACGGACAUAUUGCAAGAAAUGUGCUGGAAUUGCAAAAGAAACUGAGGUGGCGGACAGAUAUAUCGCCCUGAAGCAAAUUGAACAAAAUCUGUUCAGGUAAGUUGAACUGGAUACCUUGAAUUGAUUCAAGUACAAUGAAUCUUCAAAUAAUGCAGGUAGACAACUUUCAUCAACAAUGCAGCCGGUGAUUGGUGUUGUGGACAUUUCGAAAACUUGUUAAUCUCUCUCUGUAUCGUGUAGAACACUGAAAAUGUCCAGGUUCUUGUACAUGUCGCAGCAAGCCAUUAUUCAACAACCGAGCUUGGCUGGGAUAUCAUGAGAAUUUAGACCAUCUGGCAAAGUAUCAUAUUGAAACUCAUAUUAUAUUAGCUAUAAAUUAGUUGAAAAUGAAUGUGUAUUUAUUCUUUUA